rnacentral:rRNA from 1 species
AGUGAACGCUGGCGGUAGGCCUAACACAUGCAAGUCGAACGGCAGCACAGUAAGAGCUUGCUCUUACGGGUGGCGAGUGGCGGACGGGUGAGGAAUACAUCGGAAUCUACUUUUUUGUGGGGGAUAACGUAGGGAAACUUACGCUAAUACCGCAUACGACCUACGGGUGAAAGCAGGGGAUCUUCGGACCUUGCGCGAUUGAAUGAGCCGAUGUCGGAUUAGCUAGUUGGCGGGGUAAAGGCCCACCAAGGCGACGAUCCGUAGCUGGUCUGAGAGGAUGAUCAGCCAAACGGGAACUGAGACACGGUCCAGAACCCUACGGGAGGCAGCAGUGGGGAAUAUUGGACAAUGGCGCAAGCCUGAUCCAGCCAUACCGCGUGGGUGAAGAAGGCCUUCGGGUUGUAAAGCCCUUUUGUUGGGAAAGAAAAGCAGCAGGUUAAUACCCCGCUGUUCUGACGGUACCCAAAGAAUAAGCACCGGCUAACUUCGUG